AGAGUUUGAUUCUGGCUGAGAACGAACGCUGGCGGCGUGGAUUAGGCAUGCAAGUCGAACGGGGUGUCCGCGGUAGCAAUAUCAUGGGCAUCCAGUGGCGAAAGGGUGAGUAACGCGCGGGUAAUCUGCCUUGAAGUUGGGAAUAGCCCGGGGAAACUUGGGAUAAUUCCGAAUGUGAUCGCUGGCCGCAUGGCCAGCCGUUUAAAGCCGGGGACCGCAAGGCCUGGCGCUUCAAGAUGAGCCCACGUCCUAUCAGCUUGUUGGUGAGGUAACGGCUCACCAAGGCUUACGGGUAGCUGGUCUGAGAGGAUGGUCAGCCACACUGGGACUGAGAACUGCCCAGACUCCUACGGGAGGCUGCAGUCGAGAAUCAUUCGCAAUGGGCGAAAGCCUGACGAUGCGACGCCGCGUGCAGGACGAAGGCCUUCGGGUUGUAAACUGCUGUGAUGGGGGAACAACCGGUCGUGUGUGAAUAAUGCACGGCUCUGAUAGUACCCCAAGAGGAAGCCACGGCUAACUCUGUGCCAGCAGCCGCGGUAAUACAGAGGUGGCAAGCGUUGUUCGGAUUUACUGGGCGUAAAGGGUGCGUAGGCGGUCCUGUGUGUCGGGUGUGAAAUCCCACGGAUCAUCCGUGGAACUGCAUUCGAAACUGCGGGGCUCGAGUGUUGGAGAGGAGGGCGGAAUUCUCGGUGUAGCGGUGAAAUGCGUUGAUAUCGAGAAGAACGCCGGAGGCGAAGGCGGCCCUCUGGACAACUACUGACGCUGAGGCACGAAAGCUAGGGGAGCAAACAGGAUUAGAUACCCUGGUAGUCCUAGCCGUAAACGGUGUGCACUUGGUGUAGGAGGAAUUAUCCCCUCCUGUGCCGGAGCUAACGCGUUAAGUGCACCGCCUGGGGAGUACGGUCGCAAGAUUAAAACUCAAAGAAAUUGACGGGGGCCCGCACAAGCGGUGGAGCAUGUGGCUUAAUUCGAUGCUACGCGAAGAACCUUACCUGGGCUUGACAUGCAGAGUUCAACCGGUGAAAGCCGGCGGCCCGCAAGGGCGAUCUGCACAGGUGCUGCAUGGCUGUCGUCAGCUCGUGCCGUGAGGUGUUGGGUUAAGUCCCGCAACGAGCGCAACCCCUGUGGCUAGUUGCCACGCCGCAAGGCGGCACUCUAGCCAGACUGCCUGUGAUAAGCAGGAGGAAGGUGGGGAUGACGUCAAGUCAGUAUGGUCCUUAUGUCCAGGGCUGCACACGUGCUACAAUGACGAGUACAGAAGGAAGCUACGCCGCGAGGCUGAGCAAAUCCCCAAAACUCGUCCCAGUUCAGAUUGGAGUCUGCAACUCGACUCCAUGAAGCCGGAAUCGCUAGUAAUGGCGCAUCAGCUACGGCGCCGUGAAUACGUUCCCGGGCCUUGUACACACCGCCCGUCACAUCACGAAAGCCGAUUGCACCCGAAGUGGCCGAUUCGACCCGCAAGGGGGAUAAGUCCCUAAGGUGUGGUUGGUGAUUGGGAUGAAGUCGUAACAAGGUA
rnacentral:rRNA from 1 species